rnacentral:rRNA from 1 species
GAGGUAACCCGCAAGGGAGCCAGCCGCCGAAGGUGGGGCAAGUGAUUGGGGUGAAGUCGUAACAAGGUAGCCGUACCGGAAGGUGCGGCUGGAUCACCUCCUUUCUAAGGGGA